rnacentral:lncRNA from 1 species
GUCAGGUUUCAAAUGUAAUAAUUCCUAUUGAAGCUGGAAAUUCCAUGAUAAGGGUCCUGCCUCCCUGAAGUCUGAUUAUUUAUUUGCAUACCUGCCACAUGUGGCCCAUGUGUCACAAUUACUCUUUCAGAACCUAGACCUCUUUGUCUUGAAAAACUUUCAUAAAUAAGACAGAAAAGCGUCAAGCUACAGACUCUGCUUUCCUGUGUGUUUAAUUUAUUGCUUGCUAUAUUGUUCAUAGACUGUCCCCAAGCAAUGGAAAACAGCCAUUGGCAGCUUCAGACUCACCUUCUACAGAUUUGCAAACAGAGGGAUCCUUUUUUUCCAAGAAGUGUUCUCAUUGGCUGACUUGGAUCCAUGUCAGCCCAGGCCAAUCAUAGUGAUCAAAAAGGAUUGGCAUUCUGAGUGGCCAGAUCUGGUUGAUAAGCCUGUCUCUGGAGAUAGAGGUGGAGUCAGCCCCACUCAAGUUGCAUGGUGGACAAUGGGGAAAGUGUGGAUAUCCAAAAGGAAAGGAUGAGUUGUGUUAUCAAGAGAAAGAGAACUGGGCAAAGAGAAACCAUGCAACUGUUGUUGGAACUCAGAGACUCAGUCUUGGCAAACAAAAUGAUCAUAGCAAAAAACAAAACAAAACAAAACAAAACAAAAACCAGCUUUUUCUUGGUACAGUGAAUGAAACUAAUGCUCAGAAAGCUUAAAGAACUUAUCCAGGUUUGCAAAGACAGUUGGGAAAGAAUGACCUUACUUUGUUUUUCAUGCUUUCUAAUAUUUCUGGAUCCUUCAAUAUUGGGAAACUGUCUCUUUCUUGCUAAGACAAUACAUGUUCAGAAUGAGUUGGUUUUACCUUUCCACAUUCCUCCUCUAUUCAUCAGAAGAGAUACAUUACAGAGUUGGUGCAGUACACAUGGUAGGGGAAUGUUUGUAUAUACCUCCUUGUAUAUUCUUCCUCUCUAAAAAGUCAGCAACUAAAAGUAAUGAAAACAAUGAUGAAUCAUUCCUGUGCUGUCAGCAGAAGAUGUUCCUUCAAAGCAGCACGUCCUUUGAGUCAGUACUAUCUGCUACUCAUGCAUUCAUUCUCUGUAGAGUGGGUGUUGUGGUUGUGGAAGACAUGAGCAUUCUGAAUAAGAGAAGGC